GGUGAGUAAUGUUCCUGAUGGGACACAGGAGUUAUACAGAUUGAGCGUUCGUGCAGUUUGCCCUGGUCUGCAACACAGCCUGAACGUAUCUCAACUGUUGGUCCACACCGUGUAAUUAGCGCUGCAAUGUUGAAGGCUACACUUCUGCAUGGCCUGCUGCUGGUGUCCUGCGUCGCGGCAUGGAACAAUGAGCUGACAUACUGGAGCUACGGCCGGGGAUACGGCAGAGGUCACUACGGCAUAUCUAAUUAUAACUACUGGGAUGAUACAGCACACAAUGCCGAGCCAUAUCCUUGUACCUACCCCUGGUGCACCUACGGAAUCAACUUACAGUUAUAUUCGUAUUGACCUCAUAUACAGUACAAUACAUGAGACGAAAUGGCCGUUUGUUUAUUUUCUACACUUAAUCAUGUACGUAAAGUGCCCUAACAUUAACAAUAACUGACAUUUAAUGUUACUGUACUAAUUAAAUUGUGAAAACACACAACAUUAAACACUUUCCAUGCUAAAGUUCCAGGUGUGUUUCGAUAAAAAAUCGAAAGCAAAAUUAGAUUAGAUUCACUGUAUCUGUCAAACGCUGGUAACAGACUCCUAGCUCCUGGACUGAUUCUGUUCAAAUAAAAUAUAUACCGGUGACAAAAUAUUAAAUAUUUCUAAGAAACACGAAAUAAACAUACAAACAAACAAUACGGAAUGGAGGGGGAAUGCACACUUAACAUAAUAAAUAAUAAUAACAUAUAUCCGUGUAGUGUUGAGUUACUGUAAAACAUAAUUUUGCGUCAGAUGUUUAUAUCUCGGAGACACUCCACUAAGAAUGCGCGUUCUAUAGCAAAAAACAAGAAACUCAGACCAUGUGGUCUACAUUGUUAUUAUAGAAUCUUCCGGUUGUUAAAACCCACAUCAAUUCAUUAUAUUUGUGUUACAAAGGAAAGUAUAUUAAUUAUUACCUAACUGGCUUUGAGAGAACAGACAUUAAACUACAUUGAAAGUAUAAAUAAACUGCGCACAGAUAACCCACUUACUUUUGUUGGAUCGGAGUAGGUUUGGCCCCUGUCAUAAAGAAGACGAAGAAGAAAAUCUGGAAAAAAGAGAAAGGUUUUAAAAAUUGCGCUGAGUUUUAUUAUAUGGUGACCUUGAAGAGCAAGUUAUGAAGUUUAAUUCUUGAUAGUGUACAAUCGUUAUUUUUAGCACGUGAGUUAUUUACUGUGGCCAGUUCACAAUUAGCGCUUAAUUAUCAGUUCCUUAGUGGGAAACACUGUGUUGGUAAUUAGUCACGGCAAAUCAGUCACAUGAGAAUCUAUCAAGAAUAUGAAAUGUUUCCAUUAUGAACAUACACAAAUAUACUAUUUAUAACAAAACUGAUUACGUGAUUCCUCUUGUUCUAAAUUUUAGGCAUGAGAAAUCAUUUCAGAUUCAUGUUUUGAUGAGAGUUAUCAACACUUAAUUUGUGAAAUAGGAGAAGACAUUCACGUUAAAUAUAUGAAUGAAAAGUGA